CCUACGGGAGGCUGCAGUGGGGAAUAUUGGACAAUGGGCGAAAGCCUGAUCCAGCCAUGCCGCGUGUGUGAAGAAGGCCUUCAGGUUGUAAAGCACUUUCAGUGGGGAAGAAAGCCUUGGGGCUAAUACCCUCGAGGAAGGACAUCACCCACAGAAGAAGCACCGGCUAACUCCGUGCCAGCAGCCGCGGUAAUACGGAGGGUGCGAGCGUUAAUCGGAAUUACUGGGCGUAAAGCGCGCGUAGGCGGUCUGAUAAGCCGGUUGUGAAAGCCCCGGGCUCAACCUGGGAACGGCAUCCGGAACUGUCAGGCUAGAGUGCAGGAGAGGAAGGUAGAAUUCCCGGUGUAGCGGUGAAAUGCGUAGAGAUCGGGAGGAAUACCAGUGGCGAAGGCGGCCUUCUGGACUGACACUGACGCUGAGGUGCGAAAGCGUGGGUAGCAAACAGGAUUAGAUACCCCUGUAGUC
rnacentral:rRNA from 1 species